rnacentral:misc_RNA from 1 species
UUUUCUUGGCUCAGCAUUAUGACAGGCGGGGACAAUAUGAUGUUGCUCUCACUAAAAUUGAUGAGGCUAUAGAACACACUCCAACAGUGAUUGAUUUGUACUCAGUCAAGAGCCGGAUUUUGAAACAUGCUGGUGAUUUGGCAGCUGCUGCCGCAUUGGCAGAUGAAGCAAGAUGCAUGGAUCUUGCCGAUCGCUACAUAAAUAGUGAAUGUGUCAAACGUAUGCUGCAGGCUGAUCAGGUGGCUUUGGCAGAAAAAACUGCUUUGUUAUUUACUAAAGACGGGGAUCAGCAUAACAACCUCCAUGACAUGCAGUGCAUGUGGUAUGAACUUGCUUCUGGUGAAAGUUACUUUCGCCAAGGUGAUCUUGGACGGGCUCUGAAGAAAUUUUUAGCUGUGGAGAAGCACUAUGCUGAUAUUACUGAGGACCAAUUUGACUUCCAUUCCUAUUGCUUAAGGAAAAUGACUUUACGUGCCUAUGUGGCAAUGCUUAA